AGUGAACGCUGGCGGUAGGCCUAACACAUGCAAGUCGAACGGCAGCACAGUAAGAGCUUGCUCUUACGGGUGGCGAGUGGCGGACGGGUGAGGAAUACAUCGGAAUCUACUUUUUCGUGGGGGAUAACGUAGGGAAACUUACGCUAAUACCGCAUACGACCUACGGGUGAAAGCAGGGGAUCUUCGGACCUUGCGCGAUUGAAUGAGCCGAUGUCGGAUUAGCUAGUUGGCGGGGUAAAGGCCCACCAAGGCGACGAUCCGUAGCUGGUCUGAGAGGAUGAUCACCCACACUGGAACUGAGACACGGUCCAGACUCCUACGGGAGGCAGCAGUGGGGAAUAUUGGACAAUGGGCGCAAGCCUGAUCCAGCCAUACCGCGUGGGUGAAGAAGGCCUUCGGGUUGUAAAGCCCUUUUGUUGGGAAAGAAAAGCAUCAGGUUAAUACCCCGCUGUUCUGACGGUACCCAAAGAAUAAGCACCGGCUAACUUCGUG
rnacentral:rRNA from 1 species